rnacentral:rRNA from 1 species
GAUGAACGCUGGCGGCGUGCCUAAUACAUGCAAGUCGAGCGAACAGACGAGGAGCUUGCUCCUCUGACGUUAGCGGCGGACGGGUGAGUAACACGUGGAUAACCUACCUAUAAGACUGGGAUAACUUCGGGAAACCGGAGCUAAUACCGGAUAAUAUAUUGAACCGCAUGGUUCAAUAGUGAAAGACGGUUUUGCUGUCACUUAUAGAUGGAUCCGCGCCGCAUUAGCUAGUUGGUAAGGUAACGGCUUACCAAGGCAACGAUGCGUAGCCGACCUGAGAGGGUGAUCGGCCACACUGGAACUGAGACACGGUCCAGACUCCUACGGGAGGCAGCAGUAGGGAAUCUUCCGCAAUGGGCGAAAGCCUGACGGAGCAACGCCGCGUGAGUGAUGAAGGUCUUCGGAUUGUAAAACUCUGUAUUAGGGAAGAACAAAUGUGUAAGUAACUAUGCACGUCUUGACGGUACCUAAUCAGAAAGCCACGGCUAACUACGUG